rnacentral:pre_miRNA from 1 species
GGAAACUUGAAAACUACUGUUUGGAUCGAAAAAUAGACAUUCGAGAUUCGUCCAUGUCAUCACGAGUAAAAAUUUUACUCUCACAUCGUGAUUAAAAUUUUUACUCAUGAUGAAGUGGACGAAUCUCAUAUGUCUAUUUUUCGAUCCAACAUUAGUUUUUAAGUUUCC